AAAAACAUCCUCAAUAUCUGAAAAAGUCCCAUCAUAAUCCUUCCCUCAUCACUCAUGCUUCUAAUGGUCCAAGCAGCUUCAUGGGUUCCUACAUACUGAGGGCAGCAGGGAACCACUGUUAACAUCCAGAACACAAGCCACAGACUCCCCUGAUUUCAUUCCCAUCUGAUCUGGAGCAGCUCUUUCAGGCACAACAAUAUGCAGGCACCCUUGAAAAAUUACCUGAGACGGAGAAUCAAACACAGGCCAUGCAAAAUCAGUUCGUUUCUCACUACCUUAAUGAGGGAAAAUAAAUAACGAUAAUAAAAAGGCAGGAUUCUAAUCGGAAUGGGGCACCUAAACCCAAUUACUUCCUAACCCACACUAAUAGCGUUCGACAGGUCUUGCUGUGCCCAGGGAAGCAGCAUCACGUCACACAUGGGGACGCAAACCCACUGAGAUCACAGAAUUCCUCCGGGGUGUACAUGGUGAUAAUGGCAGCGGCAGAGGAAGGAGCAUCUGCUGCUUAUCUGUAUAAUUUUCCCUAUAUUUAGGUUUUAGGGGGAGGAGGAGGGAGAGGACUUGAAACAUACGCAAUUUUCUACUUCUUUUCUGUAGCUUUUUGAUCCUUUCGCUUCUGGGUUUGGCAACUGCAACUUUCUUCAUCCUUGGAGAUUAUUCUUCCAUUCCUCAAAGAGACUUCAAUUUCCUCACAAAUCUCUUUUCCUUUCACUUAAUUUAAACAUUUAUGGCCAAUUUCAUGAUUUAAUAAUGAGAAAUAAAAUUGGAGAUUUACUAA